rnacentral:rRNA from 1 species
AGUGAACGCUGGCGGCAGGCCUAAUACAUGCAAGUCGAGCGAACAGACGAUAAGCGUUCGCCUCUACCGUUGGCGGCUGACGGGUGAGUGAGGCGUGGAUAGCCUACCUAUUUGACUUGGAGGACUUCGUGAAACCAGUUCUGAUACUAGAGCAUAUAUUCAACCGCAGGAAGCAGUAGAUAUUGACACUUUUGCUGUUUCUUUGAGACGGAGCCGCGCUGCAUUAGCUAGUUGGUAAGGUAACGGCUAACCAAGGCAACGAUGCGUAGCCGACCUGAGAGGGUGAUCAGCCACACUGGAACUGAGACACGGUCCAGACUCCUACGGGAGGCAGCAGUAGGGAAUAUUGCGCAAUGGGCGAAAGCCUGACGCAGCCACGCCGCGUGAGUGAUGAAGGUCUUCGGAUUGUAAAACUCUGUUAUUAGGAAAGAAAAACUGUGGAAGUAACUCCGCCUGUCCUGACGGUACCUAAACAGAAAGCAACGGCUAACUACGUG